AUUGAACGCUGGCGGCCGGCUUAACACAUGCAAGUCGAACGAGUGGCGGACGGGUGCGUAAUGCUUGGGAAUCUAGCUUAUGGAGGGGGAUAACUACGGGAAACUGUAGCUAAUACCGCGUACCAUAGGAUGAGCCCAAGUGGGAUUAGGUAGUUGGUGAGGUAAAGGCUAACCAAGCCGACGAUCUCUAGCCUGUCUGAGCGGAGGACCAGCCACACUGGGACUGAGACACGGCCCAGACUCCGACGGGAGGCAGCAGUGGGGAAUAGUGCGCAAGGGGGGCAACCCUGACGCAGCCAUGCCGCGUGAAUGAAGAAGGCCUUAGGGUUGUAAAGUACUUUCAGCGGGGAGGCGUUACACGAAGAAGAAGCACCGGCUAACUCCGUGCCAGCAGCCGCGGUAAUUC
rnacentral:rRNA from 1 species